rnacentral:rRNA from 1 species
GCGAUGGCCGCUUGCGAGGUGCUGCAUGGUUGUCGUCAGCUCGUGCCGUGAGGGUGUCGGGUUAAGUCCCAUAACGAGCGCAACCCCUACCUGCUAGUUGCCAGCGGGUCAUGCCGGGGACGUCUAGCGGAACUGCCAGCGUAAGCUGCGAGGAAGGUGGGGAUGACGUCAAAUCAGCACGGCCCUUACGUCCAGGGCUACACACGUGUUACAAUGGCCGGUACAGAGGGCAGCCACCCCGCGAGGGGGCGCGAAUCCCGAAAGCCGGUCCCAGUUCGGAUUGGAGGCUGCAACUCGCCUCCAUGAAGUCGGAAUCGCUAGUAACCGCAGAUCAGCUACCGUUGCGGUGAAUACGUUCCCGGGCCUU